ensembl:snoRNA small nucleolar RNA U3
AAGACUAUACUUUCAGGGAUCAUUUCUAUAGUUUUUGACUUGAGAAAUGUGUUUCUAAAGUGUCUGGUCUCACCAUCCACGAUGAUGAGUUAUGAUACUCCUUUCUGAGCGUGAAGUGGACAGAGAGACAUGAUUACGUUUCAUAUGUUCUCUAUCGUUGAGGAUCGUUCUUGGUUCCUUUUAGGGACCUUGAGGAAAGGAGUAUGUUCAGAGUGGUA